CAGCAGGAGCUGAAAUUAGAUGGGUUUUUUUUUCAACUGAACAGGUAUAGACCAUUACAUGCUGGCCCCACAAUGCACCAGCAGUUCUCAUAAUCCCUGACCUAGAGAGACCACCUUGGAGAAAAAUGGCGUAAUCCAGUCUUCUGCUCCUCAGUCUUAGGUGUUU
rnacentral:sRNA from 1 species